rnacentral:lncRNA from 1 species
CUCAUGUGGUCAGAGGAAAGUGACCUGGAAAGUACCUGGAAGUUUGCGCUCCUGUAUUAUUCUGUUCUCGUGCUGCUGAUAAGACAUACCUAAGACUAGGUCAUUUAUUUUUAAAAAAGAGGUUUAAUGAACUUACAGUUCCACGUGGCGGGGGAGGCCUCACAAUCAUGGCAGAAGGUGAAAGUCACAUCUUACAUGGCAGCAGAUGAGAAAGAAUUAGAGCCAAGCAAAAAGGGAAACCCGUUAUAAAACCAUCAGAUCUCGUGAGACUUAUUCACUACCAUGAGAACUAUGGGGGCAACUGCCGCCAUGAUUCAAUUAUUUCCCACAGGGUCCCUCCCACAACACAUGGGGAUUAUGGGAGCUACAAUUCAAAGUGAGAUUUGGGUGGGAACACAGCCAAACCAUAUCAGUUCCCCCUACCCUCCACCCUGAGGUGGGUUUUGCCAGGAAUGGUAUGCACAGGAGUAUGAAAGCUCAGGGUCCUCUUUCUGGGGUGCCAUGAGCCAAGGGAGGUAAUGUACAUUCCAGAGUUCCUCUGUGUGAGAAAGCUGAGGCUAGAAUUUUGCUGAGAUCACACUGUUGCUCAACUUCUUCUUUUUCCCAUUCCUCUUUCCCUUCCUCCAUCAGAGAUUUCUCCUGGGAGCACUUUCUUGCUCUGUCACUGCCCAUGAAUAUUCAUCUCAGGCUCUGCUGCUGUGGGACUUGACCCAGGACUGGAGUCAUGCUGACCUUGCAUUUCACUUAGAUAGAUUAUACCAGGAUGUACUCACAUCCCAACAAACUGAAAAUGCUGACCAGUCCCAGCACAGCCAACUUGAAUUUGCUCCUCUAUCAAAGUGCCCAGCACCUCAUUUCUUCCUCUUUAGAAUUUAUAGGUAAGAGUCAGCAGUCCACCAGGACUCCGUAAAUACAGGGUACACAGGAGAAGCUCCUGUUGGGGCCACG